rnacentral:rRNA from 1 species
UACGUAGGGUGCAAGCGUUGUCCGGAAUUAUUGGGCGUAAAGAGCUCGUAGGCGGUCUGUCGCGUCUGCUGUGAAAACUCAGGGCUUAACCCUGAGAUUGCAGUGGGUACGGGCAGACUAGAGUGCGGUAGGGGAGACUGGAAUUCCUGGUGUAGCGGUGAAAUGCGCAGAUAUCAGGAGGAACACCGGUGGCGAAGGCGGGUCUCUGGGCCGAUACUGACGCUGAGGAGCGAAAGCGUGGGGAGCGAACAGG